rnacentral:rRNA from 1 species
AGUGAACGCUGGCGGUAGGCCUAACACAUGCAAGUCGAACGGCAGCACAGUAAGAGCUUGCUCUUACGGGUGGCGAGUGGCGGACGGGUGAGGAAUACAUCGGAAUCUACUUUUUCGUGGGGGAUAACGUAGGGAAACUUACGCUAAUACCGCAUACGACCUACGGGUGAAAGCAGGGGAUCUUCGGACCUUGCGCGAUUGAAUGAGCCGAUGUCGGAUUAGCUAGUUGGCGGGGUAAAGGCCCACCAAGGCGACGAUCCGUAGCUGGUCUGAGAGGAUGGUCCAGCAAACUUGAACUGGAGCAACGGCCAAAACCCCACGGGGGGGAAGAGGUGGGAAUUAUGGACAAAGGGGGCAAGCCUGAACCAGCCAAACCGCCGUGGGUAAGGAGGGCUUCGGGGUUGAAAAGCCUUUUUGUGGGAAAGAAAAGCAACAAGGUAAUACCCCGGUGUUCUGGCGGGACCCAAAGAAUAAGCACCGGCUAACUUCGUG